CAGUCACAAAGUCCUCCAGGAUAAUCAAACCAUAUAUUAGGUAAUCCACUUUGAGUCAAAUUAUUCUGUUGAAAAUUCUCUUACAGUGAUGGUCUGCUUGAACAUAGACAUUGAAACUGAGGAUUUACAUUGAUCUGGGAAGAUACUAUUUACAUACGAAGGACUCUCAGGCUUUCUGCAGGGAAGUAGGGAGAGUGACACUUUAUACUGAAGCUUGAUAAAUGAAUUCUUUACCUUCUUGUUU